GACAGAGGUGCCAAGCGUUUAGGCGGAAUCACUGGGCUUAAAGCGUGUGUAAGCGGAUUGGUAAGUACCUUGUGAAAUCCCACAGCUCAACUGUGGAACUGCUUGGUAUACUGCCUAUCUUGAGCCACUUAGGGGCUGUCGGAACAAAAUGGUGGAGCGGUGAAAUGCGUAGAUAUCAUUUGGAACGCCAAAGGUGAAAACAGACAGCUGGGAGUGUGCUGACGCUGAGACACGAAAGCCAGGGGAGCGAACGGGG
rnacentral:rRNA from 1 species